GGUUAAGCGACUAAGCGUACACGGUGGAUGCCCUGGCAGUCAGAGGCGAUGAAGGACGUGCUAAUCUGCGAAAAGCGUCGGUAAGGUGAUAUGAACCGUUAUAGCCGGCGAUGUCCGAAUGGGGAAACCCAGUGUGAUUCGUCACACUAUCGUUAACUGAAUACAUAGGUUAACGAGGCGAACCGGGGGAACUGAAACAUCUAAGUACCCCGAGGAAAAGAAAUCAACCGAGAUUCCCCCAGUAGCGGCGAGCGAACGGGGAGCAGCCCAGAGUCUGAAUCAGCUUGUGUGUUAGUGGAACGGUCUGGAAAGUCCGACGGUACAGGGUGAUAGUCCCGUACACCAAAAUGCACAGGCUGUGAACUCGAAGAGUAGGGCGGGACACGUGGUAUCCUGUCUGAAUAUGGGGGGACCAUCCUCCAAGGCUAAAUACUCCUGACUGACCGAUAGUGAACCAGUACCGUGAGGGAAAGGCGAAAAGAACCCCGGCGAGGGGAGUGAAAAAGAACCUGAAACCGUGUACGUACAAGCAGUGGGAGCACCUUCGGGUGUGACUGCGUACCUUUUGUAUAAUGGGUCAGCGACUUAUAUUCUGUAGCAAGGUUAACCGUAUAGGGGAGCCGCAGGGAAACCGAGUCUUAACUGGGCGUUAAGUUGCAGGGUAUAGACCCGAAACCCGGUGAUCUAGCCAUGGGCAGGUUGAAGGUUGGGUAACACUAACUGGAGGACCGAACCGACUAAUGUUGAAAAAUUAGCGGAUGACUUGUGGCUGGGGGUGAAAGGCCAAUCAAACCGGGAGAUAGCUGGUUCUCCCCGAAAGCUAUUUAGGUAGCGCCUCGUGAACUCAUCUUCGGGGGUAGAGCACUGUUUCGGCUAGGGGGUCAUCCCGACUUACCAACCCGAUGCAAACUACGAAUACCGAAGAAUGUUAUCACGGGAGACACACGGCGGGUGCUAACGUCCGUCGUGAAGAGGGAAACAACCCAGACCGCCAGCUAAGGUCCCAAAGUCAUGGUUAAGUGGGAAACGAUGUGGGAAGGCACAGACAGCCAGGAUGUUGGCUUAGAAGCAGCCAUCAUUUAAAGAAAGCGUAAUAGCUCACUGGUCGAGUCGGCCUGCGCGGAAGAUGUAACGGGGCUAAACCAUGCACCGAAGCUGCGGCAGCGACACUAUGUGUUGUUGGGUAGGGGAGCGUUCUGUAAGCCUGCGAAGGUGACCUGUGAGGGUUGCUGGAGGUAUCAGAAGUGCGAAUGCUGACAUAAGUAACGAUAAAGCGGGUGAAAAGCCCGCUCGCCGGAAGACCAAGGGUUCCUGUCCAACGUUAAUCGGGGCAGGGUGAGUCGACCCCUAAGGCGAGGCCGAAAGGCGUAGUCGAUGGGAAACAGGUUAAUAUUCCUGUACUUGGUGUUACUGCGAAGGGGGGACGGAGAAGGCUAUGUUAGCCGGGCGACGGUUGUCCCGGUUUAAGCAUGUAGGCUGAUUGUCCAGGCAAAUCCGGAUAAUCAAGGCUGAGGUGUGAUGACGAGGCACUACGGUGCUGAAGUAACAAAUGCCCUGCUUCCAGGAAAAGCCUCUAAGCAUCAGGUAACAUUAAAUCGUACCCCAAACCGACACAGGUGGUCAGGUAGAGAAUACCAAGGCGCUUGAGAGAACUCGGGUGAAGGAACUAGGCAAAAUGGUGCCGUAACUUCGGGAGAAGGCACGCUGGUGUGUAGGUGAAGUCCCUGCGGAUGGAGCUGAGACCAGUCGAAGAUACCAGCUGGCUGCAACUGUUUAUUAAAAACACAGCACUGUGCAAACACGAAAGUGGACGUAUACGGUGUGACGCCUGCCCGGUGCCGGAAGGUUAAUUGAUGGGGUUAUCCGUAAGGAGAAGCUCUUGAUCGAAGCCCCGGUAAACGGCGGCCGUAACUAUAACGGUCCUAAGGUAGCGAAAUUCCUUGUCGGGUAAGUUCCGACCUGCACGAAUGGCGUAAUGAUGGCCAGGCUGUCUCCACCCGAGACUCAGUGAAAUUGAACUCGCUGUGAAGAUGCAGUGUACCCGCGGCAAGACGGAAAGACCCCGUGAACCUUUACUAUAGCUUGACACUGAACAUUGAGCCUUGAUGUGUAGGAUAGGUGGGAGGCUUUGAAGCGUGGACGCCAGUCUGCGUGGAGCCAACCUUGAAAUACCACCCUUUAAUGUUUGAUGUUCUAACGUUGGCCCCUGACCGGGGUUGCGGACAGUGUCUGGUGGGUAGUUUGACUGGGGCGGUCUCCUCCCAAAGCGUAACGGAGGAGCACGAAGGUUAGCUAAUCCUGGUCGGACAUCAGGAGGUUAGUGCAAUGGCAUAAGCUAGCUUGACUGCGAGCGUGACGGCGCGAGCAGGUGCGAAAGCAGGUCAUAGUGAUCCGGUGGUUCUGAAUGGAAGGGCCAUCGCUCAACGGAUAAAAGGUACUCCGGGGAUAACAGGCUGAUACCGCCCAAGAGUUCAUAUCGACGGCGGUGUUUGGCACCUCGAUGUCGGCUCAUCACAUCCUGGGGCUGAAGUAGGUCCCAAGGGUAUGGCUGUUCGCCAUUUAAAGUGGUACGCGAGCUGGGUUUAGAACGUCGUGAGACAGUUCGGUCCCUAUCUGCCGUGGGCGCUGGAGAAUUGAGGGGGGCUGCUCCUAGUACGAGAGGACCGGAGUGGACGCAUCACUGGUGUUCGGGUUGUCAUGCCAAUGGCACUGCCCGGUAGCUAAAUGCGGAAGAGAUAAGUGCUGAAAGCAUCUAAGCACGAAACUUGCCCCGAGAUGAGUUCUCCCUGAGACUUUAAGUCUCCUGAAGGAACGUUAAAGACGAUGACGUUGAUAGGCCGGGUGUGUAAGCGCAGCGAUGCGUUGAGCUAACCGGUACUAAUGAACCGUGAGGCUUAACCUU
rnacentral:rRNA from 1 species